CGCGAAUAGCUCAUUACAACAGCUGUAAUUUACUUGAUCUUGACGCUAUCCGCUUACAUGGAUAACUGUGGUAAUUCUAGAGCUAAUACAUGCACAAAAGCUCUGCCCCUCGUGGGAAGAGUGCAUUUAUUAGAGCAAAACCAGGCGAGUCCCUCCCAAGGGGACUCGUACCUUUGUUGACUCAGAAUAACUCUAGCUGAUCGCAUGGUCCUCGUACCGGCGACGUAUCUUUCAAGUGUCUGCCUUAUCAACUUUCGAUGGUAGUGUACCUGACUACCAUGGUUGUGACGGGUAACGGAGGAUAAGGGUUCGACUCCGGAGAAGGGGCCUGAGAAAUGGCCACUACGUCUAAGGAUGGCAGCAGGCGCGCAAAUUACCCACUCUCGGCAUGAGGAGGUAGUGACGAGAAAUAACGAGACCGUUCUCCAAAGAGGCCGGUCAUCGGAAUGGGUACAAUCUAAACCCUUUAACGAGUAUCUAUGAGAGGGCAAGUCUGGUGCCAGCAGCCGCGGUAAUUCCAGCU
rnacentral:rRNA from 1 species